rnacentral:lncRNA from 1 species
UUUAUUUCUUGGCUUUACCGGAUCUAGCUAUUUUGUAAAGUUAGAGAUCAAUAUCACAUGGUCUUGCAUAUAAUCUUAUUUUACAUAUUAAUCAAGACGUAAGACUGAUAUAUAUACAAUAUGUGAAGAUUAUUAUAUUUUCUUAUAUGAAAUAAAAGAUUGCAAUCUUUUAUGUUAGCUAAAUACUCCCUCCGUUCUUUAAAGUUGCAUAUUCUAGAUUUUUCACACGUUUUAAUAAAACACAUUAAAUUUGCAUAUAUUUUUGUGUUUAUCUUUUUUCUAUAAUUUUAAGCCAAUAAAAAUUCAAUUAGUGCAAUUAAGUUUUUUGAAGUUUACAAUUUGUUAAUAAAACAUACAUUGAAAAUGUAAAAAAUGGAUCUUUUUGAAACAAAUUUUUUCUUUAGAAUAUGUAACUUUAAGGAACAGUGGGAGUAUUAGGUAACUUAGUGUAGACUUUUAAGGAAAUUGAUAUUUAUUAUAUCUUUUGUUAGUUCAUUUAUUAGUUAAUUAUGGUUAACAGUCAAAAAAGGAAAUGCCACUAGGAUAAUUAAAAUGUUCUUUUAAGGAUG